GGUGAGCAGUCAGCUCCCAGGCCUGGAGGUUUGGGGUGCAAUUGGGACGUUCUCCCAGAGCCCCCAUGAUGGUGGUUCCCUGGCUCCGGGGAGGAGGUGUGGGCACAGAGCCCUCCUGGUCUGUACAGCUGCAGGAACCUUAAAUGCGUGUGCACAUUUAAGCCACCUUUAAAUGCACUCUGUGACUAGGGCCAUGGUCGGGUGAGGUUCACGUUACACAGCUUGUGCUCGGCUCUGCCAGCCUGAGUGGACAGCAGCGAUGCCCCAGCACCACAGCGAACAGGCACAAGCCCUCAGGACCACAAUGAUGGGCUCAAGACGAUGUCUCCUGGAGCCCUGCGUGUCUCUCCAGGCUCUGCUCACCCUAAACAGCCUCACCUGGGCUUGCUGCCACCCACCCACCUCCAACCCUUGGCCUGGGGCUGUAUUUAAGCUCCCAGCUCUGCUCCUUGCCCUGGUUGGGUUGUGCUUGGUUGUGCUUUGUGGUUGCCUCUGGAGCUGCCUCCUCACUGUGAGGGGUGUUCCUGAGGACUGUCACCAGCCCAGAACCAGCCCUGCUUGGCUCCUGCCUUCCUGCAGCUGCUCCUUGGUGUUUCGUCCCCAGGAUGACUCUUGAUGUCUGAAAGAGGAAGAAUUUCCUGAAUUUGCUCACUGCUCCUGUCCUCUCCCUGCAGACACCUGUGAAUAUCUGCUCCAGGGAGAAAAGAGGUGAGGACACAUGAUGCUUUAUGCAUGCAAGGUUGGUGGCUCUCUACUGUAUGGUAGCAAAUGGUGAGGAGAUGGAGCUCUGCUUUCUGCUGUCAGAAAUCAGAAUGAAGUCUUGAAUUCUUUUGUUUCAGUCUGAUUUACUGUAUGUGCCAGUGAAAGAAACGAAGUGCUCCCAGGAAGAAACAAUUCUUCAUUUGCUUAAUUCAGAGCUCUAGGUUGAAGCUCUUAUUUCAUUUCCAACCUGACUUUUUUUUUUUUUUUUUUUUUUUUUUUUUUUUUAGAGUGUUUAGGCAAACAUGGAGUUCCUGUAGUGCAUGCAAAAUCUUCCACUGCCCCAAAAGGUACCUUACCACAAAAGUUGGUUCGUUGUAUAAAAUCAGCAUAGCUGCAGUUUAUUGGUGAAUCUUUUCAAAGAGGCCAUUUGGAGCUGUAGGACCAUGAUUUUUCUCAUGCUGUUAGCUGGUACAUAACACACUAGGUGCAGUCAAAUGCCGGGUAUGUGAUCCCCACAGGGAGGAUGCUCUGUUUUGAGAGAUGUGGCAGUGACCUGGUGGGAGUGCCUUCCAUCUGAAUUUUGGGUGGCUUUAGGGGAGGCUGUGAAGAGCAAGUUAAGAGAUGGAAGUCAAAUCCCUCACUUGGGAGCAGGUCUGAAUCCUCUGAGAGUGUGGAAUCACUGCCACCCUUGAGAAAAGGUGGGGGUGUAAUUGCAGAACUGAAAAGCCAGCCUGACUUCCAGAGAUGGGGUUUGGGACUGUGAAUUUCAGUCGACACCAAGCUCUGACUCCUAUCAUUUUAGAGUUGUUUCAUGUUUAAACACUGCAAUUGCUGUUAAAUGUGAGUUCUCUGAGCUUUAAUAAAAAUAGCAUCACAUUAACCUAACGAGUUUUU
rnacentral:lncRNA from 1 species